rnacentral:rRNA from 1 species
CAUCCCACUAUAUUGUUCGCCAGAGUACUACAAGCGCUAGCUUAAAACCCAAAGGACUUGGCGGUAUCCCAUACCCACCUAGAGGAGCCUGUUCUAUAACCGAUAAUCCCCGUUCAACCUCACCACUUCUUGCCAUUACCGUCUAUAUACCGCCGUCGUCAGCCCACCCUGUGAAGGACUAAAAGUAAGCAAAAAGAAUAAAACUCCAAAACGUCAGGUCGAGGUGUAGCAAAUGAAGUGGGAAGAAAUGGGCUACAUUUUUUUUCAAAAACAUACGAAUGGUAAACUGAAAACAUACCUAAAGGUGGAUUUAGCAGUAAGAGGAGAUCAGAAUACUCCCCUGAAAUCGGCUCUGGGAUAAGCACACACCGCCCGUCACUCUCUCAAAAACAACCUAUCCUUUUUCAUAAACACAUCUCUUUAAUAAGAGGAGGCAAGUCGUAACAUGGUAAGUGUACUGGAAAGUGCACUUGGAAUC